rnacentral:rRNA from 1 species
CUCCUACGGGAGGCAGCAGUGGGGAAUAUUGGACAAUGGGGGCAACCCUGAUCCAGCAAUGCCGCGUGUGUGAAGAAGGCCUUCGGGUUGUAAAGCACUUUUAUCCGGAACGAAACGUGCGGGGUGAAUAGCCUCGUAAACUGACGGUACCGGAGGAAUAAGCACCGGCUAACUUCGUGCCAGCAGCCGCGGUAAUACGAAGGGUGCAAGCGUUACUCGGAAUUACUGGGCGUAAAGGGUGCGUAGGUGGUUUUUUAAGUCUGCUGUGAAAUCCCCGGGCUCAACCUGGGAAUGGCAGUGGAUACUGGAAAGCUGGAGUGCGGUAGAGGGUAGUGGAAUUCCCGGUGUAGCAGUGAAAUGCGUAGAGAUCGGGAGGAACACCAGUGGCGAAGGCGGCUACCUGGACCAGCACUGACACUGAGGCACGAAAGCGUGGGGAGCAAACAGGAUUAGAUACCCUGGUAGUCCACGCCCUAAACGAUGCGAACUGGAUGUUGGGUGCAACUUGGCACUCAGUAUCGAAGCUAACGCGUUAAGU